rnacentral:rRNA from 1 species
CUAGCAUAUCAAUAAGCGGAGGAAAAGAAACUAACAAGGAUUCCCUUAGUAACUGCGAGUGAAGUGGGAUGAGCUCAAAUUUAAAAUCUGGUAGUCUUUGGCUGCCCGAGUUGUAAUCUAGAGAAGUGUUUUCUGUGCUGGACUGUGUUUAAGUUUCCUGGAUAUGGAACAUCAUAGAGGGUGAGAAUCCCGUCUUUGACACAGACUACCAGUACUCUGUGAUGCACUCUCAACGAGUCGAGUUGUUUGGGAUUGCAGCUCAAAAUGGGAGGUAAAUUCCUUCUAAAGCUAAAUAUUGGCGAGAGACCGAUAGCGAACAAGUACCGUGAGGGAAAGAUGAAAAGCACUUUGGAAAGAGAGUUAAACAGUACGUGAAAUUGUUAAAAGGGAAACAAUUGAAGUCAGUUGCAUCUACUUGGACUCAGCCUUACUUUGGUUUGGUGCAUUUCCUUGUGGAUGGGCCAGUGUUCAUGUUGAUGACUGGAAAAGGGGCUAGGGAAUGUGGCUCUUUUGGGAGUGUUAUAGCCUUGGCUCAUAUACAGUGAUUAAUAUGGAGUGGUACAGCAUGCUUCGGUGGUGCUUGUGCUGGCAUAAUGGCUUUAAAUGACCCGUCUUGAAACACGGACCAAGGAGUCUAACAUGUCUGCAAGUAUUUGGGUGAUAAACUCAAGUGCAUAAUGAAAGUGAUAGCUGGGAACCCUGCAAAGGGGGCACCAGUGCCCCGAGCGGAUCUUCUGUGAUGCAUCGGAGGUAGAGCAUAUAUGUUGGGACCCGAAAGAUGGUGAACUAUGCCUGAAUAGGGUGAAGCCAGAGGAAACUCUGGUGGAGGCUCGUAGCGAUUCUGACGUGCAAAUCGAUCGUCAAAUUUGGGUAUAGGGGCGAAAGACUAAUCGAACCAUCUAGUAGCUGGUUCCUGCCGA